rnacentral:rRNA from 1 species
CCUAGAGGGGGACAACAGUUGGAAACGACUGCUAAUACCGCAUACGAUCCAAUCUCGGCAUCGAGACUGGAUGAAAGGUGGCCUCUAUUUAUAAGCUAUCACUGAAGGAGGGGAUUGCGUCUGAUUAGCUAGUUGGAGGGGUAACGGCCCACCAAGGCGAUGAUCAGUAGCCGGUCUGAGAGGAUGAACGGCCACAUUGGGACUGAGACACGGCCCAG